rnacentral:rRNA from 1 species
CGCAUCUGUGCAUGCAGCAUAUCAAUAAGCGGAGGAAAAGAAACUAACAAGGAUUCCCUUAGUAACGGCGAGCGAACCGGGAUAAGCCCACCAUGAGAAUCGGUCGCCCUCGGCGUUCGAAUUGUAGUCUGGAGAAGCGUCCUCAGCGGCGGACCGGGCCCAAGUCCCCUGGAAAGGGGCGCCGGAGAGGGUGAGAGCCCCGUUGUGCUCGGACCCUGUCGCACCACGAGGCGCUGUCGGCGAGGUCGGGUUGUUGGGGAAUGCAGCCCCAAUCGGGCGGUAAAUUCCGUCCAAGGCUAAAUAUUGGCGAGAGACCGAUAGCGAACAAGUACCGCGAGGGAAAGAUGAAAAGAACUUUGAAAAGAGAGUUAAACAGUACGUGAAAUUGUCAAAAGGGAAGCGUUUGACACCAGUGUUGUUUUUCUCGAAAAUCAAUUAAAAAGAGUUUGAUUUUGUUGUGUAUUGACCUUAACAGCUUGCAUUUCAAUUUUCUUGCUUUUUUUAAUGCACUUUUCGUUUAACAAGUCAACAUCAGUUUCUUUUGUUGUAAAAAGGUCAUUGGAAGGUGGCUUUCUUUUCGGAGAAAGUGUUUAUAGCCUUUGACUCCUGCAAUCGGAGAGACUGAGGUCUGCAGCGUAGAUCCUUCGGGGUUAGAUACAUUUGUGCUAAGUUAUAGCUUUUUAUAGACAACUUGUUGACUAUGAUUAGUCUUGUAGCUUACUCGCUUAUGCUAUUUUACCUACGCUUAGGAUGUUGAAGACUCUACAGAGAUA